rnacentral:rRNA from 1 species
AUGGCGGCGGCGCUUCUCUCCCCGGCCUCCCCCCUCCCCCGCUCCUCCUCCGCGGCCCACCCCAGGAGCAAGGGCGCGGCUGGUGCAGCAUGGUGCGCUCCGCCGUCCAGGAGGAGGGCGGUCUCGUGCUCGUGCGCGCCCGAUUCGUGGAGCCGCGGGCUGGAGCGGAGGCAGCUCGUGCUGUCCGGCCUCGCCUGCUCCUUUGCAAUCGUCCUCCCGAUUUCAGUAGUAGAAUCGUGUGCUGCUGCUGCCGAGGUGGACGACGACGGCGUGAAGAUGGCCAUGCUGGUAGACGAGACCAACGCCUACUCUUUUCUUUACCCGGUUCAGCUGCCAGGGAAGAAAACCUCCUUCAGAUGGGUAGAGUCGAGGAAAUCGGAGCGAUAUUCCUCUGCGGCGCCACUAUCUCCUGAUGCACGGCAACGCAUCGUAUCGGAGCGCCUUGACAUGAUCAACAAUGCUGUCAUCUCAGUCUCGAUUGGGCCACCAAGUUCACGCUUUCUACCUUCGAAAGACAAGAAAACUUGGGCUGCAAAAGAUGUUGCUGAUUGCGUUCUGUCUGACAAAUCUUCAUUGAAGGUAACGACAAGCCAGCGAAUGGCGGAGAGUUCCGUCCUUGAUGCACACACUACAGAUGUUGAUGGAGAGCCAUACUGGUAUUAUGAAUAUAUUGUUCGGAAAUCACCAACAAAAUCUGCACCAGAACCUAAUCUGUUUCGGCACAAUGUAGCAUGUACUGCUGAGCGAGAUGGUUUCCUCUACUCGUUAAAUGCCUCCACUCUCAGCAAGCAGUGGGAAUCUAUGGGACCUUUGCUACAAAAGGCUGUGGCAUCCUUUCACCUCCUCCCCCCGACAGAGAAAUAUGUUCCUCCUUACCAGGAUCCAUGGAGGUUUUGGUAA